GGACGAUCCCCAGUCAUUGUGACACGGUCAGACAGAUAUGUUUUUUUUAGCAGUUUUCGGGGAUUUUUUAAAAGCAGAUUGGUCACUGAUAAAGGCAAUACAUGCAUGACUACACUGGAGUGACGAGUGAGGCAGUGAAGCAUUGAGGACCACCCGUGCGUGGAGAAAGCAGCGAGCAGGAAGGGAUAUGGGGGGACAGAAGACAGAGAGAGGAGAAGAACAAACAGCAACAAGAAAUACAUUGAACACCUCCACUACCCAUGAAUGAAGUGGUGCUAUCGUUAGCUAAUUGUAUUUCCC